GACGCCUGGACCAGACGCUCCGAGGCUCAGAAUGGGGCCGUGCCCUUGCGGCCGCGCUGCCAUGCGAUCUCUCCACCUGCGAGGCGGCUGCAAACUACGCUUCUGUGUGCCUGUGUUGAAGCAGCUGCUUGGUAGGAGAUACCUCCAAGGUCAAACUGCCUCUAGCUGUGAGACGUUGGACAACGUGACUUUCUUCUCUGGGCCCCAGAAUACUCUUCAACCAAACAAGUGGUAUGGACUAAAACCAAACUGAUUCCUGAAUGACCAGUCGGCUUCGACCCAGUUUCCACUGACCCCCGCCCCCCAGCCUCAACUACUUGUGACAGGAGGCAAGGACUAUGCUCCCAUUCCCUGUCGGAGAACCUGAGCCCCAGCCUCAGGCCUUGGGAUCUUGGCUGUCGCCGAGAUUCUUGGGGUGGGGGUAGGGCUGGUGGCCUGGAUGAAUUCCCAAUUAGGAAAUUGCAUUCCAGAUCCUGAAACCCUCAGGGAACUGGCCGGCUCCAGCCUCCUCCCUUGGGAUGAGGCUGCUCACUGCUCCACCUUCCACCUGGGCGCACCCCACACACUGGGGACUUUGGCAUCUAGUGCCACAGUUUGUUGGCUGUGUGUGACUCCUCCGAAAAGAAAGGGUUAUGUGUGGAGCAGCGUACUGAGGCACCUCUGUUUAAGGGUGUCCCCGAUACUCCAUGGGCUCCUUCCUUACCUGAGUGGCAUUCAAAGCACUUUCACCUGUGGGCUCUCAUCGAGGCACAGAGAUUAUGAUCCCCAUUUCACAGAGCCUGAGGCUCAGGGAGAUGAACUGAGGUGCCCAGGGCCCUCCAGUACAUGAAGGACAGAGCUCUUUCACAAUUCCUGCCCUGGAUGACAUUUGACAUUGGCUGAUGAAGUGAUGACGGUGGGAGUCAGUGUCGCCUAGGGUGGGGAGCAAAGGGGUCGAGUGGGGCCGUCUGCAGUCAGCGCCGAGCACCGAGCACCGAAGUCCUGGCCAGGAGCUGUGUCCAUGGGAGGGCAGCAGACCAGAACCGAUAGGUGAGACCCGGGGAGGGGCAGCUCUGGGCUUCCUGGGAGCCUAGUGGGACCCGCUGGGUCCCCAGGCAGUAAGAGCAGGGGCAGCUGAGGGGCCUCAGGCUUAGCUCAGGGCAUGGCCCAGGUUCCCACCAUUAUUUCUUUCUCAAAAAAUGUGGUCCUUGCUUUUGUAAUAGUGGAAAUUAAAACUAAAGCACAGAUUUACAGAAGAAAGCUUUCAUUAGAAAAUGGUAAGGGCCUCUCCCUGGGGCAGCUGACAAAGAUUAGGCUGGCCCUUAAAAAAGGAGAGUAAGAACAAUAGGAAAGGACUCCAGGUUGAGCAGCCAGAGGGGCACAACAUCCUGAUGGAGGAGCCAGACUGGCCGCCUCAGGGUUCGAUGUGGGCUGGGUCGGUGGAUCAUUACCUCAGUCCUGGUUUCACAGUUUCAGAAACUUCAGGCUUGAGGGGCAGCUCCAUUCUCAUGAAAUGAUUGUGGUCCUGGGAUUUCAGUCAUGUGGAGCUCUGCUUUUCCCAGAAUCCAUGUCUAGGACAAUGGCUGAGACUUCUGGCUGUAGUUGAACGUUCCUAGAAAUCCCUUAACCUCUGUCUUGAAGGGGAUCGAUCGUGUAGAUUCAGGAUGUUACAACCUUGUUUUGCUGACUGUUAGAUGAACAUUACCUAAAUGAUCAAAAUACUCAGACGCAGAGCUGAGGAAGGAUUUGUCCUAAAGAUUUACAGUAACAAAAAAAUACCAAUGAAGGUCAAGAACUUUUAGUAUCUUUUGGGUAUUUGUAGGCCCAGGUGAAAAGUUAUGGUUUUCAGGGAAACUGGCUUUUAAGUCCCUAACCAUCCCAGAAGAAAACACAAAAGGUGCUUUUAGGGCCGGGGAUUUAGCUCAGUGGUUCCACCGCCUGCCUCGAAAAUACAAGGUCCUAAGUUCAAUCCCUGGUACCAAAAAAAGAACAGGAUGUCUUCUGGCCCCUUGACAUCUGUGACACAGCCUAUCCAGAGGAGCUCUGGAACACUGUGUGCCAAACAUAUUUCUCCUUCUCCUUCUUCUCUUGCUUCUCCUCCUCUUCCUCCCCCAUCUUCUUCUUCUUUUUCUUCUUCCCCCAGUGCUGUGGAUAGAACCCAG
rnacentral:lncRNA from 1 species